UUUCCGUAGGUGAACCUGCGGAAGGAUCAUUAUUGUAUAACCGAGGUGCGAGGGCAGUCUCUUACCCGAAAGGUCGUGCACGCCCGAGUGCCCUCACACACAUCUAUCUCACCCCUACGUGCACCACCGCGUGGGUCCCCCUUUGGCUUGUUCGGAGGGGGGCUUACGUUUUCACACAAACUUUGUAUGCAGUGUAGAAUGUAUUUUUUGUUUUUGCGAUCACGCAAUCAAUACAACUUUCAACAAUGGAUCUCUUGGCUCUC
rnacentral:misc_RNA from 1 species